GACCGGUAUAUGAUCAGAACAAAAUGAACGAUUGAGACGAAAACUGGAAUUCAACCAUGUGACGAAAUGAUACAUGUCGUGGAUAUCUUGUACCUCAGCGGACAGCAGAGACUCAAUCCAUAACACAAGGUGGGAUGACAUUGGUAGAAGAGAGAUCCUCCAGAUCCUCUGGUCUGGUUUCCGUUCCGCCUUCUGAUUAGCGCCAUACGACAACUGAAAACCGAGGACUUAUUGUGAAAAAAGUCAACAACGUGAUCACAAGCGAGCAGCGGACGCGGGAGAGGAAAUGACGGCCGCAAAAACAUCCAAACUCUCCACGAUCAGAUUCCCCGAGACGUGCUGCUGAUGUCUGUAACUCGAUACUCCGAGCAAAAAAAUAUUAUACCGAGAUUAUCUUGUUGAAGAGCGGGACCGUCUGGUGGCCUUGGCGGGGGUUUGGUCCCGUGUGCCAACUGACUCCGCUUGUCCGGGGAUUUGGUGUCGCGUCCCAGGCUCAUCAUCGGUGCUUUGAUUGCGAAUCUCGGUCGGGGAAAACUUUGGUCGGAAAGUAGGUCUUCGAAAUCUCGCUGAUCACAAAAGUACCUCACUUGCAGCCAAAUUAUAUUCUGUAAAGUCGUCGUAUAUUCAAGUCUCUUGACUGACCCUGCUUGCUAUUUUGAAGAUUUGCAGCAUUGCCUAUGUUGUUACCGUCUCGAGUUGGAGUGUUACAAUCCUAUAGCUGUAUGCGGAAGUAUAAUGGCGUCAGUCAUUUCUGAGAUCCAACUUUGAAUGCAUUUUUAUAUGUCCCUCUAACUAUGUUGCAAAUCUAAACGAUUGAAGUCUCUAAAAUUUGAUUGAAUAAUUUGAAUCUAAAGUGUUCUGUAACUGUUUGUACACGGUUGUUACUAGCAAAAUAGUACUGGAGAUGGCGUCAUCGAAAUAUCACGGGUGAAAUUUUCAGAUAGUUCUAAGAAAGGGAGCAGAUUUAAAAGCACAUUUUUUGUUUUAUAAAACGACAUUGUAGAUAUUUAUUCCUUUUUGGAAACGAAGAAUUCAGCGUCUUUGUCUUAAAAUGAGAGGGGUGUAUUUUUCAUUUCUGGAUCCCCCGCGACCCUGACUACCUCUCUCCCAGGGCUACACCGGAAGUGGAAGGCGCUACAGGUCACAUCAACCCGUAAUUACAUAUCGCUGCCAAUGUCAUCACCAGGGGGCCGAUCGCUCUGAUAUUCCCCUGUGGAUCGAGAUUGCACACCAAGGCGGCAGCCAUCAAAGGGGAAACCUGGUGACGACACGUCAAGGCCAACUCUCGCGAGAAUUACAAAAGAGAGACUUCAAGAAAAGAAGAAACUCAUCCGGCGGUGUAGGAAAAAACAACAACAUUUAGUCCUUCUGAAGUAAGGACUUUGGUGGACGUGAUUAUAUCCGACGUCUUAUUGUCUGGGGCUCCUUGACAAGCUCUGCCGUCAAUCAGACUUUUCUGCAAUUCAAUGUCCAGUGAGAAGAGAUAUCAAACAUUUAUGUCAGGUUUGAUAACUGCUGCCGGUUAAGGCGUUGAUUGAUCAGGUGCGAGGCUGUUGAUAUUGGUAGUAACAGCCCGAUGUUUUUCAGUUGUGUAAGUUGUACCAAACGACCCUCGGAGUUUUGUAAACUAAAUAAUUCAUGUAUCCCACUAUUUGUCCAGUAUGGUUGUCCGAGGCAAAACUGGAUAGUUAGAUGAAUUCGUCAUAUCAGGAAAGCCAUCUGUGCGCUCUUUGAACGAAUCGCCACAGCCAGCCUUUACUUGCAAAACAAAAGCUCUUUGGCGUUGUUACUAAGGAACACAUCCAAGAGACCGUUUAACUUUCACAUUUAACAAAAAUACCUUUUUUUCAACGACAUCAUUCAUGGAUUGCCUAAAAAGACUAAAAGUGGCAAAGACUACAACUGGGAAAUUGUAAAAAAAAAAAAAAAAAAAAAAAUUGACGGCGACACCGCCAAAGAGAACUAAGCCGGUUCAUACCCAUCACAGUGUCAUUUACCGUUUCUGGCAUACGGUU